ACAGAUAACUGUUUAUAUCACUAAUUAUUGUUUUUCAAAUGCUGUUUUUGCAGUCCCUCAUCCCUCUAUUAAAAACAUCUAACUUAUAGGGUUUAUAUGUUAACAAACACAGAUAACUGUUUAUAUCACUAAUUAUUGUUUUUCAAAUAUUAGAAUAAUGCAUAAAGAGGUAAUAAGUUAAUAUUUUAGCAGUGAUAAGUUAGUGCCGUCACUAUGCCAGGGGCCACUUUUGCGGCACUUUGGUGGAAAUAGCUGUCUAUUUUGGCAAAGACAGGUAUAACAGUGUUGGGGUAGUUAUUCAGGUAAUGAUUCAGAAUAAGUUUAAGCAUAACUGCAUUGCCAUGUACUAAUUUUUUACAAAAUUGUACAGGUGGCGGCUCUGUCCAAACAGACACCCUCACCGAUGCUGAGGAGGCCAUGGCGCAGGUGCUGGACCCUGCAGUUGUAGCGGGUGUGGGAUCUGGUUUAGAAUCAGAUCCUCGUCCAACACCUUCUGUGUCUGCAGCUUCUGCAGACACAGAAGUGUGUAGAAUCUUCCUUUCGGAGGAUUCUAUGACACCCGCACUUCUGCAAGGCCCAUCACAGCCCCCUCCUCACCAUCCCCGCCCUACUCCUACUCACCAGCUAGCCCCUGAAUUGGCACCUGUCCACCGUGCCCCAGAAACUCAAUCUCCCCCUGAUGUAGGAGCGGCACCUCACGCUUCCACCAGAAGACACAAGAGGGUUGAUCCACCAGUUGGGCCAAAAAUGGUGGAAAUUCAAGAAGAUAUCCUUCUUGAAGUGAGGAGGCCGAGUGGUACUAUGGACAAGGUAGCUGCAGCCUUGGAAAAAAUUGCAGUUACCUUGUCAAAAUAAGGUGACAGGUCCAAUUAGGUACCCAUUUAUCGUCCAGCCCAAAAGCGAGGAUGAACAGCCACUGCACCUUAAAGGAUCCCUCCACAGAUGCCUCCUCAGCCCCUCCCUUAGGACCAUCCAGCAGACCUCCACACCCAGCACCACCAACAUGGCCAACCACUCCGUCCAGCACCACUGUCUUUUAACAUCUAAGUUUUACUUUCUACUGGAAGUAUGCCAACAUGCAGCCUGUGCCUAAGACGGGUGACCAUUCCAAUCCUUCAGACUACAAAAGACCUUCCCAACAGAAACUACACGAUUCCAGGAUGGAGGCUGCAGAAUGCUCAACUUCAUACCUUACUAUUACUUCCAAUUAAGCCAAGUCCUUCAACGCCUCUAAAACUCAAUUUUUUAACCUGUCAACUUGACACAAUCUUCCAAACACUUAUCCCCCAUUUCUCAAUAACACUCAGCUGUCACCUACAAUAAACAUCCUCGGUCUAUCCUUAACUCAAAAUCUCAACUGGAAACUUCACAUCUCCUCUCUUACUUAAUCAGCUUCCUUGAGGUUGGGCUUUCUGUAUCAUCUCUGCCAGUUCUUUUAUCCUCCCAAAUGAUAUCUAUAUACAGGGGCCUUGUCUGCCCUAUUAUGCAGUAUACAUUUCAUAAUGUUCCUUACUCUUUGUCUCUUUCCAUUCCUUAACUACAUUUCCAUUGCUCUAAAAAAUAUGAGUGGCCAUUUUAUAAAAAUAGAACAUAUACUACCCUGUCUUUUAUUCUUAUGACACCCAGUCCAUUCCUUGUUGUUUGUUCUUUAUUUUUCCCUAAUGAAACAGGUUGUCCUAUUUACCGCAUAAAAAUUAUAUUUGCUAGUAAAUACACUUCAGAGGCACUUAUGUAUAUAAAUGAAUUUUGUAAGCAUUACAAAAAACAAAGUUUAAAAGGGCUUAACACUGAGGAAAGUUAUUAGAUUCUGGACAAGCAUGAGUGUGGAAGUUGGAAAGCAGUUGGUAAAUAGCAAAAUUGUUCUAAAAGGGUCAGAAUACAUGCUGUGACUGUGAAUUGACAGCAUUUCCAUAACCUUUUUGUAAAUACUCAUCCAUAUUAAUCCCUCGAAAGGAUAACCAGGAUAAUGCAUCUGACAAGUCAAGAAGAUAACAAAGCCAAACAUUAACAUACAGGUUAAGUUGGGAGCAUAUGCUAUUAGCUUUGAAUGGUCACGAUACUCAUCUCCAUACCAUUGGCCCUUCAGCCUGUGGUGGGUAACAAUCCAUUAA